GCGAACGCUGGCGGCAGGCCUCACACCUGCAAGUCGAACGAACUCUUCGGAGUUAGUGGCGGACGGGUGAGUAACACGUGGGAACGUGCCUUUUGGUUCGGAAUAACUCAGGGAAACUUGUGCUAAUACCGAAUGUGCCCUUCGGGGGAAAGAUUUAUCGCCAUUAGAGCGGCCCGCGUCUGAUUAGCUAGUUGGUGAGGUAACGGCGCACCAAGGCGACGAUCAGUAGCUGGUCUGAGAGGAUGACCAGCCACACUGGGACUGAGACACGGCCCAGACUCCUACGGGAGGCAGCAGUGGGGAAUCUUGCGCAAUGGGCGAAAGCCUGACGCAGCCAUGCCGCGUGAAUGAUGAAGGUCUUAGGAUUGUAAAAUUCUUUCACCGGGGACGAUAAUGACGGUACCCGGAGAAGAAGCCCCGGCUAACUUCGUG
rnacentral:rRNA from 1 species